rnacentral:rRNA from 1 species
CUACGUGCCAGCAGCCGCGGUAAUACGUAGGGUGCGAGCGUUGUCCGGAAUUAUUGGGCGUAAAGGGCUUGUAGGCGGUUGGUCGCGUCUGCCGUGAAAUUCUCUGGCUUAACUGGGGGCGUGCGGUGGGUACGGGCUGACUUGAGUGCGGUAGGGGAGACUGGAACUCCUGGUGUAGCGGUGGAAUGCGCAGAUAUCAGGAAGAACACCGGUGGCGAAGGCGGGUCUCUGGGCCGUUACUGACGCUGAGGAGCGAAAGCGUGGGGAGCGAACAGGAUUAGAUACCCUGGUAGUCCACGCUGUAAACGUUGGGCACUAGGUGUGGGGGCCACCCGUGGUUUYUGCGCCGUAGCUAACGCUUUAAGUGCCCCGCCUGGGGAGUACGGCCGCAAGGCUAAAACUCAAAGGAAUUGACGGGGGCCCGCACAAGCGGCGGAGCAUGCGGAUUAAUUCGAUGCAACGCGAAGAACCUUACCAAGGCUUGACAUGC